CCUACGGGCGGCAGCAGUGAGGAAUAUUGGUCAAUGGCCGGAAGGCUGAACCAGCCAAGCCGCGUGAAGGACGAAGGUGCCAAGCAUGGUAAACUUCUUUUGUCAAGGGACAAAAUCAGGCGCGAGAGCCGGACCGAGGGGACUUGAAGAAAAAGCAUCGGCUAACUCCGUGCCAGCAGCCGCGGUAAUACGGAGGAUGCGAGCGUUAUCCGGAUGUAGUGGGUUUACGGGGUGCGUAGGCGGACUGUUAAGUCAGCGGGAAAAGCCCGGGGCCCACCCCCGGCGAGCCGUUGAAACUGGCUGUCUUGAGCUGUCGAGAGGUAUGCGGACUGCGCCUUGUAGCGGU
rnacentral:rRNA from 1 species